CCCACCGACCCCUCUCUCUCUCCUUAACUUCUUGCAAAAUUUUGUUAUCUCUUGUAAUUUCUUAGGAAGAAGCUAGCUUGGAGUUGGUUUGUGUCGUUUGAUUGAAGUGGAUAGAAGAAUACUUGAGAGUAAAGUAGUGUCGGGUCAAUCAUGAGUUUAAGGACUUUGAGGAUGACUUUUACAUGUUCCAACCAAGCUAGAUCACGAGGGUUGGGUCCAACAGGAAUUAAGUAGAAAUUCUAUUUUGCUGCUUAGGUCGACCUGUACAAAAUAACUUGUAAUAUUUUGAAAAUAAAUUUUUACAGGAUCCUGGUUGUGUAACUUUAAAUUAUUUUGGUUUAUAGUAAAACGUCGAUGUUUAUUGCAAGUUAUUUAUUUAACAAAGUUUUAUAUUUAUUUUAAA